CCAAUAGCGUAUAUUAAAGUUGUUGCAGUUAAAAAGCUCGUAGUUGAAUUUCGGGGUUAGUAGGUUGGUCAUGCCUCUGGUAUGUACUGGUCUCACUGAUUCCUCCUUCCUGAUGAACCGUAAUGCCAUUAAUUUGGUGUUGCGGGGAAUUUGGACUGUUACUUUGAAAAAAUUGGAGUGUUUAAAGCAAGCUAACGCUUGAAUACAUUAGCAUGGAAUAAUGAAAUAGGACGUUCGAUCCUAUUUUGUUGGUUUCUAGGAUUGACGUAAUGAUUAAUAGGGAUAGUUGGGGGCAUUAGUAUUCAAUUGUCAGAGGUGAAAUUCUUGGAUUUAUUGAAGACUAACUACUGCGAAAGCAUUUGCCAAGGAUGUUUUCAUUAAUCAAGAACGAAAGUUAGGGGAUCGAAGACGAUCAGAUACCGUCGUAGUCUUAACCAUAAACUAUGCCGACUAGGGAUCGGAUGAUGUUAAUUUUCUAAUGACUCAUUCGGCGCCUUACG
rnacentral:rRNA from 1 species